rnacentral:lncRNA from 1 species
AAGGUGCUGGAAGCUGCCCACGCGCAGAGCCCCUCGCUGUCCGGAUGCAAAAUGGUGGCAGCGACGCAUCGAGCACCGCGCUCCCCGUGCGUAACAAAUCCUGCACGAGGGGGCUGUUACCUAGCAGAAAAGUGUGGUGUAGUUCACCUCGGAGCCAUGAGAGGCAAAAAGGCAGUGACACUCAGCAGAUGGGAGCUGGGGCAGCCGCAGGGGAGGUGCAAUCCCUUUCAUAUCAAAGGCAACCACGGUUCCUCUUCACCACAGCAAGCGUGUGCAUGGGUGUGCUCUGUGUCAAGGCACUUAAUGGGCCAGGUGCACUCGAUAAAAGAACACCAGGCACUGCAGCAAACUCACUCACCCACUUCUGAAGCAAGACGACGUGAACCAAGGAGUGGGCGGGUGGAAGGCUUUCUUGGUACAUCUACCGUGCAACUUAGUAAACAGGGGAGCCAGUGCUCUGCGCCGCCUGGAAGAAGCGUGGCAGGCGGCGCGGGGACGCAGUGCCGUCGUGACGGGGGAGGCCGCGCCAUGUCCUGGGCACCGCUGGACAGUGCCCCCCGGGCACGGCUGCGUGCUGGGGGAGUGCAGAAAACAAGGGGCCAGGCACAGCGGAGCUCAGGGGCAGGGGACUGCCGGAGCUGCACGGGCUUGGCCAGCCGGUGGAAGCUGUGGGACGGUGCUGCUGCUGCUGCUGCUGCUGCUUCAUCUUGUAGACAGCGGGAAGGAGUCCAUGUUCUGUGCCUCUGCUCUUCUGUCUCCUUUAAAAGGCAGAUUUAA